rnacentral:rRNA from 1 species
UACGUAGGCAGCGAGCGUUGUUCGGAGUUACUGGGCGUAAAGCGUGCGUAGGCGGUGUCUUAAGUUUGUUGUGAAAUCUCCCGGCUUAACCGGGAGGGUGCGGCGAAUACUGAGAUGCUGGAGUGCCGGAGAGGUAAGCGGAAUUCCUGGUGUAGCGGUGAAAUGCGUAGAUAUCAGGAGGAUCACCUGCGGUGUAGACGGCUUACUGGACGGUAACUGACGCUGAGGCACGAAAGCGUGGGUAGCAAACAGG